UUUCAUAUAAAUCACGUGUUAAAUCUUGUACAUCUGGCCCUAACCAAGGUGUACCUGUAUUAC
rnacentral:sRNA from 1 species